rnacentral:rRNA from 1 species
UUCCAGCUCCAAUAGCGUAUAUUUAAGUUGUUGCAGUUAAAAAGCUCGUAGUUGGAUUUCGGAUGUGUUGACGCGGUCUGCCUCUGGUAUGUACUGCGUUCGAUGCAUCUUUCUGCUGGGGACGAGCUCCUGGGCUUAAUUGUUUGGGACUCGGAAUCAGCGAAGUGACCUUGAGCAAACAAGAGUGUUCAAAGCAAGCCUACGCUCUGAAUUUUUUAGCAUGGAAUCACACGAUAGGACUCUGGCCUAUCUUGUUGGUCUGUAGGACCGGAGUAAUGAUUAAGAGGGACAGUCGGGGGCAUUCGUAUUUCAUUGUCAGAGGUGAAAUUCUUGGAUUUAUGAAAGACGAACUUCUGCGAAAGCAUUUGCCAAGGAUGUUUUCAUUGAUCAAGAACGAAAGUUGGGGGCUCGAAGACG